UGACGUAGUCAAAAGAGGCGGCGUUAGCUACGCCGGCGGCUUGCCUUGGAUUCAACAUCAAACCCGUCUCAAAGUCGCUUUAGUUACGUAUUUUUUGGAGUGUACCAUGGAUUUAAUAUAAGUAGCUCGUAUACUGACACUUCACUUGACUUAUCUCCGAAAGUCAUCGAUCUGGCAGAGCGCCAGAGAUUGAGCUACAGCCAUGGUGCAACAAUACCAGUCACCUGUAAGGGUCUACAAACACCCCUUUGAGCUGAUAAUGGCGGCCUAUGUGCGGAGGUUUCCAAACUGCCCCCUGAUCCCCAUCUUUGUGGACAGUGAGGUGGUGAAGGAGGAGCACAGUGAUGACGGAGCCACUGUGUUCAUUGAGAGGCGCUGUAAGGUGGAGGCAGACGCCCCUCGGCUGUUCAAAAGGAUGGCUGGUGUGGACUACCUGUACUUCAUCCAUAAGAACACUCUGGACCGCAGGGAGAGGGCGCUGCACAUAGAGGUCGUCAACGAGACCUUCUCCAACAGAGUCAUCGUCCAUGAGAUCUGCAACUACACGGUUCACCCAGAGAAUGAGGAGUGGACGUGUUUCGAGCAGACAGCCAGUCUGGACAUCAAGUCCUUCUUUGGCUUUGAGAACGCAGCUGAGAAGCUAGCCAUGAAGCAAUAUGCCAACAGUAUUAAAAAGGGCAAAGAGAUCAUAGAGUAUUACCUGAAGGAGUUGGAGGAUGAGGGGGUGACCCACGUCCCCCGCUGGAGCCCCCCUCAGGCCCCCCCACCCACUGCCAGGCUCCAGCUGCCACUCACCCGUGCCCCUUCCAAUGCCAUCCCUGUGCCCAUUGCCAAAGAGACCCCCACUGCCAGCCCCACAGAUCUACCGGCUGGCUCCCCAGAUGACAAGUUGGAUGCAGACUACAUCAGGCGUUACCUAGGAGACCUGACGCCGCUGCAGGAGAGCUGUCUUAUAAGACUACGCCAGUGGCUGCAGGAGACCCACAAGGGCAAGAUCCCUAAGGACCAGCACGUGCUGCGUUUCCUGCGGGCCCGGGACUUUAACCUGGAGAAGGCCCGGGAGAUCCUGUGUCAGUCGCUCUCCUGGAGGAAGCAGCACCAGGUGGACUUCCUGCUGGACUCCUGGGAGAGACCCCAGCUGCUACACGACUACUACACCGGGGGCUGGCACCACCACGACAAAGAUGGAUGCCCUCUGUAUAUUCUGCGACUCGGUCAAAUGGAUACCAAGGGUUUAUUUAGUACGCGCCUUGGGCGAGGAGUCCCUUCUGAGACAAGUCCUCUCAAUCAACGAGGAAGGGCUGAGGCGUUGUGAAGAGAACACCAGAGUCUUUGGCCGACCCAUCAGCUGCUGGACGUGCCUGGUGGACCUGGAGGGGUUAAACAUGCGUCACCUGUGGCGUCCGGGGGUUAAAGCCCUGCUGAGGAUCAUAGAGGUGGUGGAGGCCAACUACCCAGAGACCCUGGGAUGUCUGCUCAUACUGAGGGCUCCACGGGUCUUCCCUGUGCUCUGGACCCUGGUCAGUCCAUUCAUUGACGAGAACACCAGGAAGAAGUUCCUGGUGUAUGCUGCGAAUGACUACCAGGGGCCUGGAGGUCUGGUGGACUACAUCGAUAGAGAGGUCAUCCCUGACUUCCUGGGAGGAGACUGCCUGUGUGAGAUCCCUGAAGGAGGUAUGGUCCCCAAAUCUCUGUACAGGACAGCAGAGGUGCUGGAAAGUGAGGAGCUGCGGCUGUGGACAGAUACCAUCUACAAGACUGCCAGUGUCUUCAAAGGGGCCCCACAUGAGCUGCUGAUCGAAAUCUCCGAGUCCUCUUCUGUGAUCACCUGGGACUUUGACGUGUGUAAAGGGGACGUCAUCUUCAACAUCUACCACUCCCGGAGGGCGCCCCAGCCCCCCAAGAGGGACGUCCAGGGGGCCCACGGCAGCAUCGUAUCGCCAGCCACCAACAACAUGCAGCUGAUUGACAGAUCCUGGAUUCUGGGGCAAGACUACAGUAUGGUGGAGACAGCACUCACCUGCAAGGAGGGAGAGAGUGUUCAGGGCUCCCAUGUGACGCGGUGGCCCGGGUUCUACAUCCUCCAAUGGCGGUUCCACUGCUCCCCGGCCUGCUCUACCUCCAGCCUGCCCCGGGUGGAUGACGUGCUGGCCUCCCUGCAGGUCUCCUCCCACAAGUGUAAGGUCAUGUUCUACACCGAGGUGCUGGGCUCCGAAGACUUCAGGGGCUCUAUGACCAGUCUGGAAUCCAGUCACAGUGGCUUCUCCCAGCUGAGUGCCACCACCACCACCUCUAGCCAAUCACAGUCCAGCUCCACCGUAUCAAGAAAAUCCAGUGCUGUACCAACACCUGCCAAUGAGGACUUAACCUUACCCAGGGGGAUGAGAGAAGUGUUAUGAACUGUAUGGAACAAGGAUCGCCUAUCCUUAAUGCCAUGUGGUGGAACACUGGAGUUCCUAGUACUUGCAUUUAAAGAACUGGAAUAUAUUAUUAAAAUAUACAUGUACAUUUUUUAAUCUGUAUCUAUAAUUAGUGACAUUAAGAUUGCUCUGGAAGUAUAACAUCUGCUAUAUGAGCAUCUGCUGAAUGAAUAAAUGCAUAUGGAGAUGUCUUGCAAACCAUCAUCAUCCUCUUCUUUCUUUCAAUACCAUUAUUCUUUCUUAUUUUAAGGGAAGUGACAGAAAUGUUUCCCAUUUUAUUGAAACUGAACAAUAAAGCACUUCCUAUUUUCAGCA